rnacentral:rRNA from 1 species
UACGUAGGGUGCGAGCGUUAAUCGGAAUUACUGGGCGUAAAGCGUGCGCAGGCGGUUCGUUAAGUUCGUUGUGAAAGCCCCGGGCUCAACCUGGGAACUGCAAUGGAAACUGGCGGGCUUGAGUGUGGCAGAGGGGGGUGGAAUUCCGCGUGUAGCAGUGAAAUGCGUAGAUAUCUGGAGGAACACCGAUGGCGAAGGCAGCCCCCUGGGCUAACACUGACGCUCAUGCACGAAAGCGUGGGGAGCAAACAGG